GUCCUCACAGGGGAGCCAGGGGGGUGCUGUUGGGGUGGGGGGUGGACACAGUGGCCCCAGCAGUCAUUUGUCAUGCUCGGUGAAGCGGCUGGAGAAUGCCCAUUCUGAUAGAGUGAAGAGACUGGGCUGCAAGGGGCCAGUGCUAACGUGGGGCAUUCCUGCUGGGCAGACGCUCUCCUGCUUGUUAGUUGGGUGCUUAGGCCACAAGGAUUGAAGAACUGAUGCUUACAGGAGGACGGGCUGGCAACCCUUCUGCUCAAGAGGCAGCUCCAUGCUCUAGAUUAGUUCAAGACCAGCCAUUUGGAAUUCCGGACAGCAGGGGCUGUCACACUUGGCGUGCGUGGCCAAACACCAGUUUCUGGAAUCCAGGUUUCUCUGCCAUUCAACCUCCACAAGUCACUCUGGGAGGCUUUCUUGAUCCCAAGUGUCUGAAACACAACUGCAACAGAAUCCUCUGGCUCCCUAAAGAGGUUUUACUCUGAACUGAGCCCAAUGAGGAAAGCUUGGUUUUGGUUUCAUGACAGAGUGUCUGAAUGAACAGGGGGCUUUUUGGGGUCCUAAGAGAUCUCCUUCCCUGGAUGUUUGGGGUAGUUCCCGAGGACCUGGGAGGGUUUUUAGGGAAGUCACUGCAGGCCGCAUGCUCACACGUACCCUUGCUUCUUCUGACCUGUGCUCAACUUUGGGGAAGCAGCCAUUGGCUCUGAGCGAAAGAGCUGCGUGCUUGCAUAUGUAUGAGUCCAUUCUGGCCCCAAAUAUGGGAAAGGGGGAGGGAGAAAGGAGCUGAUAGUACAUCCCAGCACUUGGCACUGGGGCAGGGCUGGGAGCUAAGAGACCUCUCUGUGGUGUUGGACUCCUAAAGCCCUGCUGGAGGUAGUGGGCAGAUAUUUGAAGCCAGAGGAGGCUGCCAUGGGGAUGCUUCUGGCUUCCCCACAGCCCCUGUACUGCCUGGUGCCGGAAGGGUCAGGUCCUGGGAAAGGUGCUUUGUGUGGUCGGGUCCUGAGGGCCACUUCCUGCGGCUGGAGCCCUCAGAGGGACUUGGGCAGUUGAAGAGCUGGGCCAUGCAGGCUGCCAGCUGGAGAAUGGCUCCAUGUCCAAGCUGGCUCCAGAAUCAUUUUCCAUCUUCUCCGGGCCUGCAUGUGUCCUCAUUCGUGAGGCUCCUCCCUGCCUAUCAGUGAGGUGUCGGGACUGGCCCCAGUUUCUCCGGUGCUGGUCUGCAGAGCAGUCAUGGCCUGGGUGGGCUGCAGCCCCCUCUGUGAGCUUGGAGCAGCUCCUCUGUUUGUCUCAGGUCCUUGGACUCAGUGGGGACCCCAGGAGCCAUGCGCCAUGGAUGGAGCAGGUGUCUCCAGCACAAGCCUGGGGGCCUGUUGUUGGUCACCUUUGGAGCAGUGCUGCCUGGACAGGAAGUGCUUGUGGCAGAAGUCGAGGCUGAGAGGACCGAGGAAUGGUGAGUGCCCACUGCCUGUCAUAAUCCCGACCUCAGCGCUUGGACACUGGGACUCACAGAGACGAAUGCCUGAGACCCCUUGGAAGGCGGAGGGCUGCCUCCUGCGGGCCAGGAGUGGGGCCUCCCUCAGCGCUGCAUUCCAGAGUCACCAUCACCAGCCCCCACGGCCUGUCCCAACCCUGUGUAUAGCCACAGACCAGCUCUGGCCCCAGGGGUCCAGGGUGCCUGGAAUUCCAACAAAGGAGAGUCUUUCAAGAGGAGGCUGAGGAUCUGCACCAACUACUCAGGGGCCAGUGGGGGAGCCCAUGGAUGCCCGACACCCGCCUUGUUCCUGGGCAGGCCCAUGCUCUGCGUGCCCCAGGCUGGGUGCUUUGGGAGGAGCCUGACUUCCCCUCCCUCCCCAAGACACAGCUGCUGCCCCAGCUCCUCACUCUGCCUUAAAGGUGGCCUGUUAUGAACGCAAAAUCCAAACAGAGAACCAGUCCUGACAUACAUGAAAGCCCAGGGGAGCUUCUUGAAGGUAUGCCUUCGACAGUCUCAUCAGUCUUUGGAAAUGGCAGCUGUGUUUGGUGCCUGCCCAGGUCCUGUCCCCUUCCUACUUUGGUGUGUGUCAGCCCCACUUCCAGCACCCGGCACCUGCACCUCUUUGCUGAGGGCUCUUCUGCACCCAGUCACCAUGCUAAGGGUGCCGGGAGAGGUUCUCAAGGACACUCUGGCUGGUGUGGAAACGCCCAGCUCCUUUACCCUGUCGGGGGGUAACUGAGAGCCCCCCACAGGAUCAGUCUCACACACCUUCUCCUUGAGCACCUGGAUGUAUAACUUGUUUACCUGGGACCACCUUUCCCCAGCUGCAGGGCCCUAAGCAGAGGGAGGGGUUGGUGAGGGGGAGAAGACUGAAGCGCGUGUGACAAUGGGCAGUGGUGGCUCUCAGCCUGGUUCCAGCCCUGUCGUGAAGCUCAGCUUCAGUCGCCCUUGGGUUCCCUGAGGACCCCCUUGUUGGCCUCUGCUGCACCUGAGCUGGGGCCUCAGUCAGCAUCCAGAGCGCCCACCGUGGAUACGAAGUCACAUAGGGUGGAAGGAAUGUCCUGCGUGGCACAAACAGUGUCUGCUGCAGUCACAACAAACAACAGGUCACAUCUCAUCCCUGCGCCUGAGUAACCAGAUGUGGGAAUUAGCAAACUGGAGUGGCUGAAUAACGAUUCCCAGUGUGUUUGCAAAGGAGCUUCUAGUACAAACUCCCCUUCUGCCCUCCCCAGCGGCACACACUGGGGAAAUGGGUGCGUCACUUACGGGAACAGCAAGGACAGAGCCUCGGAGCUCGCCUCUGGGCUAACGGUUCCUAUUGUGUAGAACGUGCUCGUGGCAGCAUCCAAACGCACACAUCUCUUCAAUAAAUAAAGCCGAUUGCUAAGAUCUUUCACCCCUGCUAGGUUGUGGCCUCAGCCCCUGCCUCAUAGCGUCAGGGGGGAGCAGUGGCACAUUGCUCACCUACUUGCCCGAUUUCCCUCUUCCAGGCUGUCAACAAAUGCCUCCUUUAGACCCGGGCCCACCUUUUCAUUUGCCAAGUAUUGGCGCGGUCCUGCCUGUGUCCCGGCGAGUGUGCGCAGAACCCCGGCUCUGACGGCUGAGUGAGUUUUCCUUGUUAUUUUUGAUUUGUGUGCCUGGCUCCCUCGCAUCUGGCUCCAUCAUGGCAGGUGCCCUCUGAUCGCGUGGCGAGGCACUGUCCCCCAGGUGUCGCUCCCUGCGAGGACGCUGCGUGCCACAGUGCUUCCCAGAGACGCGUGGGCUGAGACGCCACACAGGCUGCCUUCGCACAGACACCCUGAGACCCACGGGGUCCUGUUCCCACAGCCCAACACAUCCCACGAGAAGAUGCAAGGAGGCCACCCCUUGUGGUGACAACAGCUCCUGAGAACACUGAGCCUGGUGCACACGGCAGCAGCUCUGGAGUCAAGACACCCAGUUGUGUCUGGCUCAUGGUGACUCUCCAAGCGCCAGGGACAAGGCGGAGGCCUCCGAAGGCCCAGCUGAAGUGCCACUUCAACUCAUUUUGGGGGCAUUUGAUGGGCUGCUGCCACCCCUCCCCACACUCUGUCACAGUUAGUUAUUCCUCCCUCCAGGUGCCUUUCUACUGCAUUACUGGGCUGAUCUCGGUCAAAUCUGAAUCCCAGUGCCUGUGCUCAGCCUCCUGCUGGGCCACCUGCUCCUUUAGGGUGGGGGGCUUACAGUCAUUUGUUGCUCCUACACAGGGCUGUUUCAGGGCAAUAAUUACACAGGGCUGUUUACCGAGCAAUCAUCAAUGUGUAUCUGUUGAAUGAAUAAAAGUAGCUAAUGACCAA